CGAGGGGGGCAAAUGUUGUUCGGAAUCACUGGGCGUAAAGGGAGCGUAGGCGGGUUUUUAAGUUGGAUGUUUAACCCCGGGGCCCAACCCCGGAUCGGCAUCCAAAACUGGGAAUCUUGAAUAGGGGAGAGGUCAGUGGAAUUGGAGGUGUAGCGGUGGAAUGCGUAGAGAUCUCCAAGAACACCAGUUGCGAAGGCGGCUGACUGGACCCAUAUUGACGCUGAGGCUCGAAAGCAUGGGGAGCAAACAGGAUUAGAUACCCUGGUAGUCCAUGCUAUAAACGAUGAAUACUAGGUUUUGGGCCCGUCAACGGUCCAGAGCCGCAGCUAACGCGUUAAGUAUUCCGCCUGGGGAGUACGGUCGCAAGACUG
rnacentral:rRNA from 1 species